rnacentral:rRNA from 1 species
CGAUUAGGCAGCAGUGGGGAAUAUUGGACAAUGGGCGAAAGCCUGAUCCAGCCAUUCCGCGUGAGUGAAGAAGGCCUUCGGGUUGUAAAGCUCUUUCGCAAGGGAAGAAAACUUAGGCGCUAAUAUCGCUUGAGGUUGACGGUACCUUGAUAAGAAGCACCGGCUAACUACGUGCCAGCAGCCGCGGUAAUACGUAGGGUGCGAGCGUUAAUCGGAAUUACUGGGCGUAAAGCGUGCGCAGGCGGUUUUGUAAGUCAGAUGUGAAAUCCCCGAGCUCAACUUGGGAACUGCGUUUGAAACUACAAGACUAGAAUAUGUCAGAGGGGGGUAGAAUUCCACGUGUAGCAGUGAAAUGCGUAGAGAUGUGGAGGAAUACCAAUGGCGAAGGCAGCCCCCUGGGAUAAUAUUGACGCUCAUGCACGAAAGCGUGGGGAGCAAACAGGAUUAGAUACCCUGGUAGUCCACGCCCUAAACGAUGUCUACUAGUUGUUGGUGGAGUAAAAUCCAUGAGUAACGCAGCUAACGCGUGAAGUGGACCGCCUGGGGAGUACGGUCGCAAGAUUAAAACUCAAAUGAAUUGACGGGGGCCCGCACAAGCGGUGGAUUAUGUGGAUUAAUUCGAUGCAACGCAAAAACCUUACCUGGGCCUUGACAUGUACAAACUUUCCAAAAAUGGAUUGGUGCUCGAAAGAAACGUUAACACAGGGGCUGCAUGGCUGUCUGCCGCUCCGGUCGGGAAAUGUUGGGUUA